GCAUUUAAAUGUAGCAUUCACGAGGAUAUGAUAAUCAAUAUGUGGUUUGCUUCGACAGAUAUACUUUUUAUUUUAUUUUCAGUCUCCGUGUCAGGAUAAUUGCAAGUAUGGCGAGGUUUGUGAAACGAAGGAGUCUGAUGUAGGCACUUGUGUUAUCAAAGAAUGCGUCAAUAUAACGAUUCCUGAAAACGGGCUUAUACUUGGAAAUCAGAGAGACAUUGGGAAAAGAAUACGGUAUAAAUGUAACGUAGGGUAUAUUGAACAAAAUGCUGAGGUUGGUACACUCGCUGAAUGCCUUUAUACCGGAGAAUGGAGUACAUUCACUGAAUGCAUCCCCAGUAAGAUUUCCUACAUGUGGACCACGUGGACAGAAUGGAGUACAUGCAGUGUUACAUGUGGCGGAGGUGUUAAAAGUAGAUCACGAACUUGCACAAUACCUACUGUACUGCUUAAUGGCGAGGAAGAGUGUGUGGAAAACAUGUACACUGGCGCAGGAGCAUCGUGUAACAAGGAAGGAUGCACU